GCUGGCAAGGUGCAUGGUUCAGGCUGCUAUGUUCCAAGGCUGGAGGCCAUCCUGGGGACAGCCUGGAUAGUAAGCACUGACAGCCAAGGACGGACUGAUCAAAGAUGGCUGGCUGGUUGGAGGCGAAGACCAGAAUAGAAACUAAAGCAGCAGUCAAGGUGCCAGGAGGUCAAGGCGAGUCUGAAACUGGUUCUCCUUCCAGGAUGUUAUCAGUAAACCAUAAACCAGAUUAGGAACCCAGGAAGUCAGGAAGGCAAGUGGAGCUUUCACCCCUCCUCAAAGAAGCUGUUGUUUGCACUGGAUGGAGAGCAUCACAGAAAGCCACAGCUGGUUAAAAUACAAAGAAACAAUGGAGUGUGGAGUGCCCAGCCCCAACAACUGUAUCUACAACACAACUCCCGCACCUAGGCUCAGGGAAGACUGUAGAAGAGGGGUCAGAAUACUUGCAGCCUGUAUCCCUGCGGGCCUUCAGAAGAAAAAACUAGAGCCGGGUUUGC
rnacentral:lncRNA from 1 species